CACCUCAACCCGACUGAGAGAAGCCGCUGCUAGUUCAUAAGAAGCGGCUCCUCGGAGCUCAACUGCUUCCAGAUGUGGAAUGCCAAAGAUAAUCUGUCGUUUUGGAUCUCAAUGAGCGCGGGGUGUCUUGCAGAAGCUGGAGGUCCAGAUCCGGCUCCCAGAUUGUAGACAUCCUACACGUGUGCACGUUUGACCCAUCCACCACCCCAGCCUCCAACGGAACACGGGAAUCCGUGCUAUGUCAGCAAGAUGGUGGCGGUCGUAUUACAGACG